CCUUUGGAACAUAUUAUAUAGUGUCCAAGGAAAAUCUAUUUAAAUCAAGCAACUUGCUUCAUAGACCAGGCAUUUUAUUUUCAGAAUGUAUAAUAGGAAAACCCUUUAAAAUCCUCAUAAGAGAGUCUCCUUCAUCCUUAUAAUUGGAGUGUUACUCAUAUAUAUAGGCAUGUUACAAAGUCAAUUGAGGACACAUUUUCUUAGUAAACUUCUGCCAAAAUAUAUGAAACAAGAAAAUCUACUGUUGCACAAACAAUACUCCAGAGAACAGACAACAUAAGGCCGGGUAACAUUAUUUCUGCAAAUGGAUAUUAUUAGGGAUUUCAGAAGUGAAAGAAAUUUUACAUUCCAGGGAAUCAGUGAAACCCUUAAGGGCCUUUUCAAAGAGAAAAGUAUAGAAGAUACCUGGACCAGUGCAAGAUAAACAGCCCAUAGUGUAUUCUGCCAGGGAAUAUUUCAUUGUAUUCUUCA
rnacentral:lncRNA from 1 species